CUAAAACCCAACACAACUAUAGCUCUGAGCAGCAAAGGAUUAUGGAGUUUGUCAAUAAAUAAUUCGCACCUCGGGAAAGCCGCUGUCCCCUUCUUCUGGAGACAGUGUGGCAUUAUGCUGCCUCUCGCAGAUCAAUCUUGGUUGUGUGACGGACAUCACGUUUGAGGGAGGAGCUUCUUGAUUAUUUGUGGUGCUAUCGUUAUGUGUGUGGUGUGCUGUGUU